rnacentral:lncRNA from 1 species
AUGGAUAAUUGCAGUUGGAUUUUUCUUCAUCAACCUCCCCCCCACCCUUUUUUUUUUUCUUUUUGGUGUCAAGAUCAUGCGUUUUCGCUUGUUCUUAACCACCUGGAUUUCCAUCUGGAUGUUGCUGUGAUCUGUCUGAAAUACAAGCAGUUGAACUCCAGAAGGAC